CACGUAGGGCGCAAGCGUUGUCCGGAAUUAUUGGGCGUAAAGAGCUCGUAGGCGGUCUGUUACGUCUGCUGUGAAAACCCGGGGCUUAACCCUGGGCUUGCAGUGGAUACGGGCAGACUAGAGGCAGGUAGGGGAGAAUGGAAUUCCCGGUGUAGCGGUGAAAUGCGCAGAUAUCGGGAGGAACACCGAUGGCGAAGGCAGCACUCUGGGACGGUACUGACGCUGAGACGCGAAAGCGUGGGGAGCAAACAGG
rnacentral:rRNA from 1 species